GGGGUUGUGGCUCAAUGAUAGAGCACUCGCUUGACAUGUGUGAUGUCCUGGGUUCGAUCCCCAGCACCA
rnacentral:tRNA from 1 species